rnacentral:rRNA from 1 species
UACGUAGGGGGCGAGCGUUGUCCGGAUUUAUUGGGCGUAAAGAGCUCGUAGGCGGCUUGGCAAGUCGGGUGUGAAACCUCCAGGCUCAACCUGGAGACGCCACUCGAUACUGCUAUGGCUAGAGUCCGGUAGGGGACCACGGAAUUCCUGGUGUAGCGGUGAAAUGCGCAGAUAUCAGGAGGAACACCGGUGGCGAAGGCGGUGGUCUGGGCCGGCACUGACGCUGAGGAGCGAAAGCCAGGGGAGCGAACGGG